rnacentral:rRNA from 1 species
UUGACGUUACNAACAGAAGAAGCACCGGCUAAUUUCGUCCCAGCAGCCGCGGUAAUACGAAGGGUGCAAGCGUUAUUCGGAAUUAUUGGGNGUAAAGCGCGGGCAGGUGGUUUNUUAANUCGGAUGUGAAAUCCCCGGGCUCAACCUGGGAACUGCAUCCAUAACUGCCNGGCUAGAGUAUGGUAGAGGGGGGUGGAAUUUCAGGUGUAGCGGUGAAAUGCGUAGAUAUAGGAAGGAACACCAGUGGCGAAGGCGNCCCCCUGGACAAAUACUGACACUGAGGUGCGAAAGCGUGGGGAGCAAACAGGAUUAGNUACCCUGGUAGUCCACCCCGUAAACGAUGUCGANAGNCGUUGGUGCCCUUGAGCNGUCAGUUUCGCAGCUA